GGUUGUGGCUCAGUGGUAGAGCGCUUACCUAGCAUACAUGAAGUGCUGGGUUCGAUUCCUUGUAUACCG
rnacentral:tRNA from 1 species